UUAAGUACGUUAAGUUGAUUCUAGAAUGCGCUGACUUAUACAAUGUUUUAAAAUCUAAUCGAUGCACAGCGAAUCCUUUCAGUUAGUUGCGCAUGCGAUCGCUAUUUUUUUCUGCUCACCAAAGAACUGUCAGACUUGUCAAGGAAAAUAUCUCGAGUUUAAAAGAAAAGUUUCCCCCACCCUCCUUCUCGCGUCUUAAGCCUUCUUGGCCAAUCGUCUCUCUUCUCACAAACACUUUAGCAGACUAUAAGAGCUCCCCAACUUUUUCCUUUCAACUUAACUCAAAGUUGCUCGGAAUCCCGGAUACCUAGUUAUUUCCCAGACCCAGAGAAUAAACAACGCACGCUUGGAAUUGUAUUUCACCCUCAUGAGGGAAUAACGUCUUGCUUCGCACGCGCUUUCAGCAGACUUGAACGAGAUGCCCGAAGAGCCCGCGCGAGACUCCUCCAGCUCCCCAGUGUCUCCCGCGGACAGCCUCAGCAACAGCGACGGAGAGCCCGACAGGCCACCGAAGAGGAGCGGAAGGAAAAGACGGUCGAGCAAGAAAAACGGGGAGGAUUCCGAUAGCUCGACCCUUGGGAAAAGGGGGAAAAAGUCUAGCAACAGCAGCAACAGCCCUCAGUCUUUUGAGGAGCUGCAGACGCAGCGCGUGAUGGCGAACGUGCGCGAGCGACAGAGGACGCAGUCGCUCAACGAAGCGUUUGCGGCUUUGCGCAAAAUCAUCCCCACUUUACCCUCCGACAAACUGAGCAAAAUACAGACGCUAAAACUCGCCGCCAGAUACAUCGAUUUUCUCUGUCAGGUUCUACAGAGUGACGAGCUGGACUCCAAGAUGGCAAGUUGUAGUUAUGUUGCUCAUGAGCGUUUGAGCUACGCGUUCUCGGUUUGGAGGAUGGAGGGCGCAUGGUCCAUGUCUGCAUCUCACUAGUGUGCAGGGAAACUUUUUUGUUUUUGUUUUCAAAUGGUACGCUUUCACAAUAUCCCUCCGUCUUUAACGAUGUUGUAAACAACUGAGUGAAAGCCAAGAGCUGGGAAAACUCGAGGACCAAUGCGCCGACACAAUGCUAGAUUCCUUCAUAAUCUUGGGGAAAACUGCAAAUGUUCCAACAGAGGUCAUGGCUAUUAUCGAGAGAAGGCCA